GACGAACCGUACGAACGUUAUUCGGAAUUACUGGGCUUAAAGGGUUUGUAGGCGGCCUUGUAAGUCAGGUGUGAAAUCCCUCGGCUCAACCGAGGAAUGGCGCUUGAUACUGCAAGGCUUGAGGGAGACAGGGGUAAGCGGAACUGAUGGUGGAGCGGUGAAAUGCGUUGAUAUCAUCAGGAACACCGGUGGCGAAAGCGGCUUACUGGGUCUCUUCUGACGCUGAGAAACGAAAGCUAGGGUAGCGAACGGG
rnacentral:rRNA from 1 species